UCUAGAAGGAGUCAUAGUACCACUAAUCAGGAGGUCCAGAAGGAGUCAUAGUUCCACUAAUCAGGAGGUCUAGAAGGAGUCAUAGUACCACUAAUCAGGAGGUCCAGAAGGAGUCAUAGUUCCACUAAUCAGGAGGUCUAGAAGGAGUCAUAGUACCACUAAUCAGGAGGUCCAGAAGGAGUCAUAGUUCCACUAAUCAGGAGGUCCAGAAGGAGUCAUAGUUCCACUAAUCAGGAGGUCCAGAAGGAGUCAUAGUUCCACUAAUCAGGAGGUCUAGAAGGAGUCAUAGUUCCACUAAUCAGGAGGUCCAGAAGGAGUCAUAGUUCCACUAAUCAGGAGGUCCAGAAGGAGUCAUAGUUCCACUAAUCAGGAGGUCUAGAAGGAGUCAUAGUACCACUAAUCAGGAGGUCCAGAAGGAGUCAUAGUUCCACUAAUCAGGAGGUCUAGAAGGAGUCAUAGUUCCACUAAUCAGGAGGUCUAGAAGGAGUCAUAGUUCCACUAAUCAGGAGGUCUAGAAGGAGUCAUAGUUCCACUGAUCAGGAGGUCUAGAAGGAGUCAUAGUUCCACUAAUCAGGAGGUCUAGAAGGAGUCAUAGUUCCACUAAUCAGGAGGUCUAGAAGGAGUCAUAGUUCCACUAAUCUGGAGGUCUAGAAGGAGUCAUAGUUCCACUAAUCUGGAGGUCUAGAAGGAGUCAUAGUACCACUAAUCAGGAGGUCUAGAAGGAGUCAUAGUACCACUAAUCAGGAGGUCUAGAAGGAGUCAUAGUACCACUAAUCAGGAGGUCUAGAAGGAGUCAUAGUACCACUAAUCAGGAGGUCUAGAAGGAGUCAUAGUUCCACUAAUCAGGACGUCUAGAAGGAGUCAUAGUUCUACUAAUCAGGAGGUCUAGAAGGAGUUAUAGUUCCACUAA